CGGACCGGCGCACGGGUGAGUAACGCGUAUGCAACUUACCUAUCAGAGGGGGAUAACCCGGCGAAAGUCGGACUAAUACCGCAUGAAGCAGGGGCCCCGCAUGGGGAUAUUUGCUAAAGAUUCAUCGCUGAUAGAUAGGCAUGCGUUCCAUUAGGCAGUUGGCGGGGUAACGGCCCACCAAACCGACGAUGGAUAGGGGUUCUGAGAGGAAGGUCCCCCACAUUGGUACUGAGACACGGACCAAACUCCUACGGGAGGCAGCAG
rnacentral:rRNA from 1 species